GAUAUUGGACAAUGGAGGGAACGCUGAUGCAGCGACGCCGCGUGAAGGAAGAAGGUCUNAGGAACNUNAACUACUAUCAGCAGAGNAGAAAAUGACGAUGCCUGACUAAGAAGCCCCUGCUAACUACGUGCCAGCAGCCGCGGUAAUACGUAGGGGGCAAGCGUUAUCCGGAAUUCCUGGGUGUAAAGGGUGCGUAGGCGGUAAUGAAAGUCAGGUGUGAAAGCCCGAAGCUCAACUUCGGGAUUGCACUUGAAACUUCAUAACUAGGGUACAGGAGAGGUGAGGGGAAUGCCUAGUGUAGCGGUGAAAUGCGUAGAUAUGAGGCAGAACACCAGUGGCGAAGGCGACUCGCUGGACUGUCACUGACGCUGAGGCACGAAAGCGUGGGUAGCGAACA
rnacentral:rRNA from 1 species